rnacentral:rRNA from 1 species
CCUACGGGAGGCAGCAGUGAGGAAUAUUUGUCAAUGGACGAGAGUCUGAACCAGCCAAGUAGCGUGAAGGAUGACUGCCCUAUGGGUUGUAAACUUCUUUUAUAUGGGAAUAAAAUGUUCCACGUGUGGGAUUUUGUAUGUACCAUAUGAAUAAGGAUCGGCUAACUCCGUGCCAGCAGCCGCGGUAAUACGGAGGAUCCGAGCGUUAUCCGGAUUUAUUGGGUUUAAAGGGAGCGUAGGUGGAUUGUUAAGUCAGUUGUGAAAGUUUGCGGCUCAACCGUAAAAUGGCAGUUGAAACUGGCAGUCUUGAGUACAGUAGAGGUGGGCGGAAUUCGUGGUGUAGCGGUGAAAUGCUUAGAUAUCACGAAGAACUCCGAUUGCGAAGGCAGUUCACUGGACUGCAACUGACACUGAGGCUCGAAAGUGUGGGUAUCAAACAGGAUUAGAUACCCCUGUAGUC